AUUGAACGCUGGCGGCAGGCCUAACACAUGCAAGUCGAGCGGAUGAAGGGAGCUUGCUCCUGGAUUCAGCGGCGGACGGGUGAGUAAUGCCUAGGAAUCUGCCUGGUAGUGGGGGAUAACGUCCGGAAACGGGCGCUAAUACCGCAUACGUCCUGAGGGAGAAAGUGGGGGAUCUUCGGACCUCACGCUAUCAGAUGAGCCUAGGUCGGAUUAGCUAGUUGGUGGGGUAAAGGCCUACCAAGGCGACGAUCCGUAACUGGUCUGAGAGGAUGAUCAGUCACACUGGAACUGAGAAACGGUCCAGACUCCUAAGGGAGGCAGCAGUGGGGAAUAUUUGACAAUGGGCGAAAGCCUGAUCCAGCCAUGCCGCGUGUGUGAAGAAGGUCUUCGGAUUGUAAAGCACUUUAAGUUGGGAGGAAGGGCAGUAAGUUAAUACCUUGCUGUUUUGACGUUACCAACAGAAUAAGCACCGGCUAACUUCGUG
rnacentral:rRNA from 1 species